UCCCUGGUGGUCCAGUGGCGAGGAUUCCAUGCUUCCACUGCAGGGGGGCAUGGGUUUGAUCCCUGUUCAGGGAA
rnacentral:tRNA from 1 species